rnacentral:rRNA from 1 species
AAACUUUUAACAACGGAUCUCUUGUGUUCUGGCAUCGAUGAAGAACGCAGCGAAAUGCGAUAAGUAAUGUGAAUUUGCAGAAUUCAGUGAAUCAUCGAAUCUUUGAACGCACAUUGCGCCCGCCAGCAUUCUGGCGGGCAUGCCUGUUCG